rnacentral:misc_RNA from 1 species
CCUAAGAGAUACGUGUUAUGUGCAGUGCUCACACAGAUUGUCUGAUGAAGAACGAGCAAAAGCGCGUCUGCGAAGCUGACAGAAGUCCCCUUCGUCUAGAGGCCUAGGACACCGCCCUUUCACGGCGGUAACAGGGGUUCGAAUCCCCUAGGGGACGCCAAUGCGCGGUAUGAGUGAAAGGCGUACCACUUAUCUGACGAAAGUCAGAGAAUAACUAAGCUAAUUCAAAUGAGUUAUCUUACUUAUUAUGCUCUUUAACAAUCUGGAACAAGCUGAAAAAUUGAAAACAAAUCAAUAUAUCACCGAGGUAUAUUGGUGAGUCUCUCAAAAUCUCAAACCUUAAAGUUUGUCACGCAAAGUUUAUCUUUGAAAAAGACACUUUCGGGUUGUGA